rnacentral:rRNA from 1 species
CCUACGGGUGGCAGCAGUAGGGAAUAUUGCUCAAUGGGGGAAACCCUGAAGCAGCAACGCCGCGUGGAGGAUGAAGGUUUUCGGAUUGUAAACCUCUGUCAGCAGGGAAGAACGGUCACUGUGCUAAUCAGCAGUGAAUUGACGGUACCUGCAAAGGAAGCACCGGCUAACUCCGUGCCAGCAGCCGCGGUAAUACGGAGGGUGCGAGCGUUAAUCGGAAUUACUGGGCGUAAAGCGCUCGUAGGCGGUAUGUCAAGUCAAGGGUGAAAUCCCCGCGCUAAACGUGGGAACUGCCUUUGAAACUGGCAAACUGGAGUGUGUGAGAGGAUAGUGGAAUUCCAGGUGUAGGAGUGAAAUCCGUAGAUAUCUGGAGGAACAUCAGUGGCGAAGGCGACUAUCUGGCACAUAACUGACGCUGAGGAGCGAAAGCGUGGGUAGCAAACAGGAUUAGAUACCCUUGUAGUC